rnacentral:rRNA from 1 species
AUUGAACGCUGGCGGCAGGCUUAACACAUGCAAGUCGAGCGGGGGAAGGUAGCUUGCUACCGGACCUAGCGGCGGACGGGUGAGUAAUGCUUAGGAAUCCGCCUAUUAGUGGGGGACAACAUCUCGAAAGGGAUGCUAAUACCGCAUACGUCCUACGGGAGAAAGCAGGGGAUCUUCGGACCUUGCGCUAAUAGAUGAGCCUAAGUCGGAUUAGCUAGUUGGUGGGGUAAAGGCCUACCAAGGCGACGAUCUGUAGCGGGUCUGAGAGGAUGAUCCGCCACACUGGGACUGAGACACGGCCCAGACUCCUACGGGAGGCAGCAGUGGGGAAUAUUGGACAAUGGGGGGAACCCUGAUCCAGCCAUGCCGCGUGUGUGAAGAAGGCCUUAUGGUUGUAAAGCACUUUAAGCGAGGAGGAGGCUACUUUAGUUAAUACCUAGAGAUAGUGGACGUUACUCGCAGAAUAAGCACCGGCUAACUCUGUACCAGCAGCCGCCGUAA